UUUAUUAUACUAUUAGACUGAAACCACUUUAUAUAACAAUUAUAAAACUUUUAGCAACGGAUCUCUGGGCUCUCGCAACGAUGAAGAACGCAGCGAAUUGCGAAAAGUAAUGUGAAUUGCAUAUACCGUGAAUCAUCAAAUCUUUGAACGCACCUUGCACCAUUGGGAACUCCCGAUGGUACGUCUGUUUGAGUAUCAAUCAACACCUGCAAACUUUGCUUUUAACCGAGCCAUACUUUGCAUAUCGAUUGGAUAGUUUUAUUACUACCGAUUUAGAUACAUAGUCUAGCCACGCUAGUCAACAGAGUUUAACACUUCUGAGUGACGAAUGUAGUAGCAUGACUGGGGCUUCUUGAAGUCUUUAACUUUGAUCUCAAAUCAGACGAGGAUACCCGCUGAACUUAA
rnacentral:rRNA from 1 species